AUGGCUCAGGACGAACGCUGGCGGCGUGCCUAAUACAUGCAAGUCGAGCGGACAGAUGGGAGCUUGCUCCCUGAUGUUAGCGGCGGACGGGUGAGUAACACGUGGGUAACCUGCCUGUAAGACUGGGAUAACUCCGGGAAACCGGGGCUAAUACCGGAUGGUUGUUUGAACCGCAUGGUUCAAACAUAAAAGGUGGCUUCGGCUACCACUUACAGAUGGACCCGCGGCGCAUUAGCUAGUUGGUGAGGUAACGGCUCACCAAGGCAACGAUGCGUAGCCGACCUGAGAGGGUGAUCGGCCACACUGGGACUGAGACACGGCCCAGACUCCUACGGGAGGCAGCAGUAGGGAAUCUUCCGCAAUGGACGAAAGUCUGACGGAGCAACGCCGCGUGAGUGAUGAAGGUUUUCGGAUCGUAAAGCUCUGUUGUUAGGGAAGAACAAGUACCGUUCGAAUAGGGCGGUACCUGACGGUACCUA
rnacentral:rRNA from 2 species